rnacentral:lncRNA from 1 species
GCUCAAUAUUUCUACCUGCAUGUGUUUUGUUACGAUGCAGCUGGAGGAGAAACGGGAGAUCAUCUGAAAUCUGCAUGGUUGAAAGUGGGACUGUGCCCCUCCACUCGUACUGGGCAGCAAAAGGAAAGGAUCAUCACUGCAAGAACACACCUGCUUACUGAGCCAUCCCAGUAUGUGAUGCUCAUCUUCAAUAUGAAACAUUACCAGCUUGCAGGUGGUGAAUCCAGCAUUGUGCACGGAUUAAGUAUCUCUUACAGCCUGUUCUGUGCUAACAGACUCCAUCGUUAGUUAAGAAUUGCUGUUUGCACAGUGCAGCACUUCCUCGAGUAAUUCGCAUUCUGCUGAGUAAUCCUGGUGACUUGAAGGAGACUUUACUUCUGCCUCAUCUUUGUAAUGCCUGAUGCAUGAAGCUGUGCUGCUUUAGAAGAAUGGAGGUGAGAGACUGAGCUCUGUUCCAGUGGCAGCAAUAUUGCCUGGUGAAGAUGAUGUCUGACUCCCCAUUCAUCACAAACCACAGAGUACAUCUCUAUCUAAUGCAUAUUAAGUAGUAGAGAAGCAUAAAAAAGAAAUUUCCCCAUUGAAAUGACUUUACUCAGUGUGAGGAAAAACAAGGCUAGCCCUCAUACAACCUCUUCAAAUCAAGAAAAUAUUGCUUAUCAGGUUUAAACUACUGUGC